rnacentral:rRNA from 1 species
UGGGGAAUCUUGCACAAUGGGGGAAACCCUGAUGCAGCGACGCCGCGUGAGCGAUGAAGGUUUUCGAAUCGUAAAGCUCUGUCCUAUGGGAAGAUAAUGACGGUACCAUAGGAGAAAGCUCCGGCUAAAUACGUGCCAGCAGCCGCGGUAAUACGUAUGGAGCGAGCGUUGUCCGGAAUUAUUGGGCGUAAAGGGUGCGCAGGCGGCUUUACAAGUUGGAUGUGAAAUAUUGUGGCUCAACCACAAACGUGCAUCCAAAACUGCAAAGCUUGAGUUAAGGAGAGGUAAGUGGAAUUCCUGGUGUAGCGGUGGAAUGCGUAGAUAUCAGGAGGAAUACCGGUGGCGAAGGCGACUUACUGGACUUAAACUGACGCUCAGGCACGAAAGCGUGGGGAGCAAACAGG